CCUACGGGAGGCUGCAGUGGGGAAUAUUGGACAAUGGGCGAAAGCCUGAUCCAGCAAUACCGCGUGUGUGAAGAAGGCCUGAGGGUUGUAAAGCACUUUCAAUGGGAAGGAAUACCUAUCGGUUAAUACCCGGUAGACUGACAUUACCCAUACAAGAAGCACCGGCUAACUCCGUGCCAGCAGCCGCGGUAAUACGGAGGGUGCAAGCGUUAAUCGGAAUUACUGGGCGUAAAGCGUGCGUAGGCGGUGAUUUAAGUCAGAUGUGAAAGCCCCGGGCUUAACCUGGGAACUGCAUUUGAUACUGGGUCACUAGAGUUGAGUAGAGGAGAGUGGAAUUUCAGGUGUAGCGGUGAAAUGCGUAGAGAUCUGAAGGAACACCAGUGGCGAAGGCGGCUCUCUGGACUCAAACUGACGCUGAGGUACGAAAGCGUGGGUAGCAAACAGGAUUAGAUACCCCGGUAGUC
rnacentral:rRNA from 1 species